GGUGGCUCAGUGGUAGAGUGUUUGGCUUGCAUGCAUAAGGUCCUGAGUUUGAUUCCUCAGCACCA
rnacentral:tRNA from 1 species